GAAGGUGGCCUGUGAGGGUUGCUGGAGGUAUCAGAAGUGCGAAUGCUGACAUAAGUAACGAUAAAGCGGGUGAAAAGCCCGCUCGCCGGAAGACCAAGGGUUCCUGUCCAACGUUAAUCGGGGCAGGGUGAGUCGACCCCUAAGGCGAGGCCGAAAGGCGUAGUCGAUGGGAAACAGGUUAAUAUUCCUGUACUUGGUGUUACUGCGAAGGGGGGACGGAGAAGGCUAUGUUGGCCGGGCGACGGUUGUCCCGGUUUAAGCGUGUAGGCUGGUUUUCCAGGCAAAUCCGGAAAAUCAAGGCUGAGGCGUGAUGACGAGGCACUACGGUGCUGAAGCAACAAAUGCCCUGCUUCCAGGAAAAGCCUCUAAGCAUCAGGUAACAUCAAAUCGUACCCCAAACCGACACAGGUGGUCAGGUAGAGAAUACCAAGGCGCUUGAGAGAACUCGGGUGAAGGAACUAGGCAAAAUGGUGCCGUAACUUCGGGAGAAGGCACGCUGACACGUAGGUGAAGUGAUUUACUCAUGGAGCUGAAGUCAGUCGAAGAUACCAGCUGGCUGCAACUGUUUAUUAAAAACACAGCACUGUGCAAACACGAAAGUGGACGUAUACGGUGUGACGCCUGCCCGGUGCCGGAAGGUUAAUUGAUGGGGUCAGCGCAAGCGAAGCUCCUGAUCGAAGCCCCGGUAAACGGCGGCCGUAACUAUAACGGUCCUAAGGUAGCGAAAUUCCUUGUCGGGUAAGUUCCGACCUGCACGAAUGGCGUAAUGAUGGCCAGGCUGUCUCCACCCGAGACUCAGUGAAAUUGAACUCGCUGUGAAGAUGCAGUGUACCCGCGGCAAGACGGAAAGACCCCGUGAACCUUUACUAUAGCUUGACACUGAACAUUGAGCCUUGAUGUGUAGGAUAGGUGGGAGGCUUUGAAGUGUGGACGCCAGUCUGCAUGGAGCCGACCUUGAAAUACCACCCUUUAAUGUUUGAUGUUCUAACGUGGACCCGUGAUCCGGGUUGCGGACAGUGUCUGGUGGGUAGUUUGACUGGGGCGGUCUCCUCCUAAAGAGUAACGGAGGAGCACGAAGGUUGGCUAAUCCUGGUCGGACAUCAGGAGGUUAGUGCAAUGGCAUAAGCCAGCUUGACUGCGAGCGUGACGGCGCGAGCAGGUGCGAAAGCAGGUCAUAGUGAUCCGGUGGUUCUGAAUGGAAGGGCCAUCGCUCAACGGAUAAAAGGUACUCCGGGGAUAACAGGCUGAUACCGCCCAAGAGUUCAUAUCGACGGCGGUGUUUGGCACCUCGAUGUCGGCUCAUCACAUCCUGGGGCUGAAGUAGGUCCCAAGGGUAUGGCUGUUCGCCAUUUAAAGUGGUACGCGAGCUGGGUUUAGAACGUCGUGAGACAGUUCGGUCCCUAUCUGCCGUGGGCGCUGGAGAACUGAGGGGGGCUGCUCCUAGUACGAGAGGACCGGAGUGGACGCAUCACUGGUGUUCGGGUUGUCAUGCCAAUGGCACUGCCCGGUAGCUAAAUGCGGAAGAGAUAAGUGCUGAAAGCAUCUAAGCACGAAACUUGCCCCGAGAUGAGUUCUCCCUGAGACUUAGAGUCUCCUGAAGGAACGUUGAAGACGACGACGUUGAUAGGCCGGGUGUGUAAGCGCAGCGAUGCGUUGAGCUAACCGGUACUAAUGAACCGUGAGGCUUAACCUUACAACGCCGAAG
rnacentral:rRNA from 1 species